CACGUAGGGUGCAAGCGUUAAUCGGAAUUACUGGGCGUAAAGCGUGCGCAGGCGGUUCGGAAAGAAAGAUGUGAAAUCCCAGAGCUUAACUUUGGAACUGCAUUUUUAACUGCCGAGCUAGAGUAUGUCAGAGGGGGGUAGAAUUCCACGUGUAGCAGUGAAAUGCGUAGAGAUGUGGAGGAAUACCAAUGGCGAAGGCAGCCCCCUGGGUUAAUACUGACGCUCAUGCACGAAAGCGUGGGGAGCAAACAGG
rnacentral:rRNA from 1 species